GAAUGUAAAUUCCUUUCACAUUUAUUGUAAAGCAGAUCUAAUGGCAACAAAUUCUCUCAGUGUUUUGUUUUUUUUUUUUUGUCUCAGAAAGUCCUUAGUUGACUUCACUCCUUUUUUUUUUAAUCUGCUUGUGUGGUUUCUGGGGAGAAGCCAGAUAUAAUUUUCAUCCUUGCUUUUGUAUAGGUAAGAUUUUUUUCUCCUUUAAAUAUUUUUUCUUUAUUUUUGAUUUUCUGCAGUUUGAAUAUGACACAUCUGCAUAUAGGAGGGUUUUUUGUUUGUUUGUUUUUGUUUGUUGUUGUUUUGAUAUUUAUCCUGCUUGGAGUUCUGUUCCUGGAUUUUUGGUGUCUGACAUUAAUUCAGGGAUAAUUAUUGCUUCAAAAUUGGUUCCUUUCUCUUUUUCUUCUCUUCUGGUAUUCCUGUUACAUAUAUUUUAUGUCUUUUGUUGCUGUCUAAUGGAUUUUCACAAAGUCCAGUCUACUAAUAUGCCCAUCAAAGGCAUUCCUCAUUUCUGUUAUUGCAUUUUUGAUUUUUUCUUAUAAUUUCCAUCUAUCUGCUUAUAUUGCCCAACUUUUAUUGCAUGCUGUCUUCUUUAUUAGAACACUAGCAUAUUAAUCAUAAUUGUUUUAAAUCCCUGGCCUCAUAAUUCUAACAUCUCUGCCAUGUCUGAAUCUGGUUCUGAUUCUUUCUUUGUCUCUUCAGACUCUAUUUUUUGCCUUUUAGUAUGCCUUGUAAUUUUUUCUUGAUAGCCAGACAUGAUGUGCUAGGUAAAAGGAACUAUUGUAAAUAGUUCUAGUGAUGUGGUGAGGUGUGGGUGGAGGGGAAGUGUUUUGUAGGUCUAUGAUUUGGUCUCAGUCGCCUAGUGAGCUGUGCCUCUGGACUGUGAGCUUCACAAGUGCUUCUUAGAGGCCCUCUCCCCUUAUUUGGGACACGAUGGCUAGAAUGGACUGGAGUUGGGCAUUUCUAUUCUCCUAGGUUAGCUACACUCUGAAAAAACUCCAAUUGUUUAGGCUCUAGUAAAAUAGUUUCUCUUCAGGGCAGGCCUUGUUAAGAACAAAGUGUAUUUCAAAAUGGUUCCUUUUCCCCUUUCAUUGUUGAAACAUCAGGAGAUUAAAAAUAUUAUUGUGAGAACCUGGUUGAGCUCUUAGAGGUAAAGCUCAUAAGAGUGUAGGGUCUCCCCUAUGACUGGGUCCCCUGGGAACUUUUUAACUCUUAGUGUCCACACUGAGCCUCCAGCAGUUUAUCAAUUACAGUUCAGGUGUUCCUGUCCUGGCACUGAUUCUUGAGGUUUCUGCUUGUGGACUUCUACUAUAGCAAGUUAUACUUAUAUUCUCCUUUCCGUCUCUUUCAUUUUAGAAGCAGCAGUUUGCCCUUUGAUCAUGCUUCCUUAAGAAAAGUUGUUGAUUUUUUAGUUUAUUCAGAUUUUUACUUGUUAGGAUGGAGUGAUGACUUCUAAGUUUUUUUUUUUUUUUUUUUUGAGAUGGAGUUUCGCUCUUGUUACCCAGGCUGGAGUGCAAUGGCGCAAUCUCGGCUCACCACAACCUCUGCCUCCUGGGUUCAGGCAAUUCUCCUGCCUCAGCCUCCUGAGUAGCUGGGAUUACAGGCACGUGCCACCAUGCCCAGCUAAUUUUUUGUAUUUUUAGUAGAGAUGGGGUUUCACCAUGUUAACCAGUAUGGUCUCGAUCUCUUGACCUCGUGAUCCACCCGCCUCAGCCUCCCAUGACUUCUAAGUUUUUAACAGGGAUAACUUCUGGUUAUUACUUUCAAUAGGAAUCAUGGCCAUUUACACAUUCACGAACCUUCAGGCCAAGACUUUUAAGAAGUGGGCAUUCCUUUUUCACUCUUUUUCUUCUUGUAUCUACCAGUUGAAUUUUAAAGAAGUCAGCCUGGAUCUCAGAGUGACUACAUAGAAUACAUCAAUCCCACCCCCAUUCUGGUAUUACCAAGAUCCAUUUUAGCUUUUACAAGAUUAAGUAAUAAGCUGUCAUUGUGCUAAUCAUUGAGAUUUGGGGGUUUGUCUGUUACAGUGGCUAGUGUGUUAUGUGAACUAGCAUUGCUUAGGAAUACUCCCUGGGGAUCUCCGUUUCUUUACUUACCGUGGAUGUUACGGCAGAUAUUGCAGACUGGCUCACUCACUUCCAUUCUAAACCUUUUGUAGUAUGCAAGGUAAAUUGUAGGAAGGCAAAAAUAUUUCCUUAUUUCCCCAGAUAUCCAUUUUUAGUUCAGGUUUCACAGAAGACAGAUUUUGCCAAGCAGAUGUACUUGUGUGAAAUUUGGGAAACUGCAAUGAACAUAGUGAGAUGGAGGUUGUGCUUUCACUAUUACUACUGUUCUUCUGGCAAGCAUGUUUGUGAAAUUGAAAGUGGUAGAAAACCCACCUACAGUGGUGUAAGCAAAUAGAAGCCUAUUUUUUUUUUUCAGAUAGCAAGAAGUCUGGAUGUAGGCAAUCACUGGAUUUGUUCGUGAGGUUACCAAUAUCAGGAUCCACGAGGGUCAGUAUCUGUGCAGUUUUUUCAGAUUUUCCUUCAUGGUUAUAAGACCAUUGUUGGGGCUGCUUUAUUCAAGGCAAACAAACAAACAAACAAAAUAAAAACAGUGGAAAAGGGGAACAGUAACAUCAGCUAUGUCUGCCUCUUUUAUCAGAAGACAGGUUUUCCCAGAAACCCUCAAAACAGCUUUACCCAAGGUCUCGCUGUCCAAAUUUGGGUAUGUUACCACCUGAAAAUUAGGAUUCUACUGGCAAGGAAAAAGGAGGGUAAGUUAUGGGAGUGUCAUAAUGCACAGAAUUUAUAGUCUCUGCCCUCAAGAAUCUAAUGAUGGCUUGCAGAGUAAACCAUAUGCAUUGAUAUUUGAAUAAUAGUAUGAGACUUAAGAAAAAAUAUAAGGCAAAAAUAGCAUAAGUGACAGAGCAGACAUUUUAGAGGAGAUGGACACUUUAGCAUUCAAAUGCAGCCUAUCUCCCAUUUUAAGAAGGACUGACGUGAAGGGAUUGUGUGUUUUAGUUGGACACUGCAGGCAGCUUCUUGCUUCCUGCGCUGUGUUAUGCUGAUGUCACCUGCCAGAAUAGAAGAGUGUUCUGCGAGAAUGUCCAAAUGAAGUGCCUUCUACAGGUUGAUGGGCAGGGAGUGGUGAAUUUAGCCUGGUCCUGGGUGGAUGAAAGGGUAUUGUAGGAAUUGAGGAAAGACUCCAGACACAAGUCUAGAAGUUUAUUUUGUGAGUAGAAUGUUUCUCUGGAUGCUGGAAACAAUAAAACUGACCACUUGCCUGUAAUUAGCCUGGGCCCUGUAAGUCACCCAGACACAAUACCAAGCUCUAAAAUUGCCUUCAGAGUAAGGGGUCAGCACCCUGGAGUUACCGACACUUGCUUUUUUGGCACCAGAUUUAUUGACAUUGAUGAUCCCAAUCCCUUAUGGAGUUCCCUGGACUGUUUAGAUAAUGAAUUUGCCUUAUGACCGCAGUGCUCCUGCUAAUGAGGAAUGAGUGUUUUCUCUAAGAUUUUAUUUUAAUGUGGUGGCUCGUGUGAUAUUGAUCCCCAGAUCAUUUGCUGUUCAAGCUCAGCUUUAAUUUUCUCAAUAACACGGUUCAGCAAUCCGUUGGGAUGCUGGUUUAAACAAGGAUAGAGGCACUCCCAUAUCCCUAGGGCCCUCAUUGUGCCUCAGGUCAAAUUCCAGCUGCCAGUAUAUGCAUCUCUUGCCUGAGGGCUUUCUUUGAAAUUAUGGGAGAACUCUGCCCACUCUGCAGGCCGGAAGUGUCAGAAGAUUAAUGUCACCUCUCCUCUGGAGUAGCUCUCAGCCAAAGAUUGAUGGGAUUUGAUGGCUCCUCUAGUGGGAGAACUCUAAGGCUUGUAUUCUCCACUUUUCCCAGAGUGUCUUCCUGGCAUUAAGCUACAGCAGCCCACGGUGGUUGCUGGGUUACUAAUACAUCCUUGAUUGAAGAUGCCCCUUCCCAGUUUUACUUUCCCCUGCUCUUCUCCACUGAUUUCCUCUGAGCAGGCUCACGCUUCAAGCAAGGAACGACAAUGUUAUUAAUUGACUCUGAAAAAGUAAAAGCCCUGGCAACCUCAAGAAGACCAAAGAAAAGAAACAUGGCUAUUUCCAAGUUUUAUCGUCAACGGAGGGAAGGUUCCACCCAGAGAGAGUCUGCCAGAGGGAGAAGUGCAAAGGGCUGAUGGGUAACAAGCUAUGAAUGGUAUUAGAAUAAGUAUUAAUAAUUCUGCUCCUUUUGCCACCCAAAUAACAACUUUCACUUAAAUCCUUGUCUUAAAGUCUGCUUCUUAGGGACCCAAGUUAAUUCAUGAAGAUAGCUCAGACUUUUUCUUCUUGCAGACUGUUUUUUUUUAAAUUACAAUCUUCUCUUCUGUGAUGAGCAUCCAGGUGUUUCAGAGGCAACAUAGCCUAAAGUGAGCCCCAGUAUAUUAGUCAUGGGGAAGGACAAUUGAUUGACUUCUCUGAUUGACCCAAAGGAGAAACAUGCCCAAGGGACAAAAUCAGACAAAGGAACAUAUCGUGUUGAUUCCAAACUCUUUGUGGGGACCCCUAGGCCUGGUGAACAAGUUUAUACCAUGCAAUAUCCCUGGACUAUGUUUACAGUAUACACAGGUCACAUGGCCUCUUUGUCUCCUUUACAAAGAACACUCUAAGGUUGAGACCUCUUCAAAGCAGGAAGCAGCCACAGGUCUUUCUUGCCUUCCCAACUCCAGGAGAAAUAAUAUGACAACAUUCUAAAGAGACAAAGUCAAGAGAGACAUGUCCUAGUGGAAGCCCAAACAUGUGUGUAAACUGUUAGCUCAUCACCCCUAAACACUGACUUGACCCAUUUAUAUUUGCUCUCUUUCCUUGGUAUAUACUUGAAGACGGUGACUCUGUUGGUUUGCAAGAGUUGCCAUAACAAAGUACCACAAACUGGGUGCCUUAAAUGACAGAAAUUUAUUGUCUCCCAGUUCAAGAUUAAGCCAUUAACAAGGUGGGUUCCUUCUGAUGGCUGUGAGAGGUCUGUUCUGUCCUAGCUUCUGGUGGUUUGUUGGCAAUCGUUGGUGUUCCUUGGUUUAUAGGUGCAUCUUUAUGUUCUCAUGGUGCUCUCCCAGUGUGUGUGUUUCUGUCCAGAUUUCCGAUUUGCAUAAAGCCACCAGUCAUCAUGGAUUAGGAGCCCACCCUAUUCCAAUAUGACCUUGUCAUAACUUAACUAAUUACGUCCACAAUGACCCUAUUUCUAAAAAAGGUCAUAUUCUGAGAUACUGGAGGUUAAGAUCUCAAUGUAUGAUUUUUGGGGGACACAAUUCAGUACAUAACAGUGACCCAGGCAGGGAGUACAGUAUAAUGGUUAAGAGGUAGGACUUGAAAAUGAAACUGACUUGGUUGAAAUUUUGACUGUACUACUUACUUGCUCAAUGAGCAACCUAUUUAAUCUUUCUGAAUUUUAGUUUCCUCAUCUACACAAUGGAGAUGGUAAUAGCUACCUCAGAGAAUUGUUUAGAGAAUUAAAUUCAGUGGCGAUGGUAAAUGCAGAGUAAGUGAGAAUAAAUAACAAUUCUUCUUACUAUUCAUAGCCCACUGCCCACCAGCCCUUUGCACUUUCUCUCUUGCAGAGUCUAUCUGGGAAGCUCUUUGGGUCAGAGCUCUCUUUUCAUUAUCAAUAAAACUUGGAAAUGGCAGUGUUUCUUCCCCUUAAUUUUCUUGGGGUUACCAGAACUUUUCCAUUUUUAGAGUCAAUUGAUAACAUCAAUGUUUCUCACUUAAUGUGUGAACCUGCUGGGGAAAAGUGGUGCAGGCCCAGAUAGAAGAGAUGGUCUUCUUAAAAAAAAAAAAAAAAUUAAAAAAAAAAAAAAAAUCCCAACAUUUAGUGCUACUCAUCUGUAAGACUGGAUAAUACCAAUACGUUCUUUAUGGGAUUGCUGAGAGGAUUAAAUGAACUAAUUCAUGUAUGUGCCUGGUGCAAUAUUUGGCUUCUUGUAAAUGCUCCAUAAAUAUUAUUAUUAUAAUAUUAUCAUUGUUAGUGGCAGUUCAAAAACAACCAUUUUUCAUAAGGGCACACAGGAAGCAGUAUGGUAGACUAGUUAACUGACAAGAGAAUGCUGCUGGUGACUGCAGAAUUUUCUGGAGAAGCCAGCUGUUUAUUUCCUGCUUUAUUUAGGGCUUUAAAACUUCUUAACAAGGUUGUGGACCUGGAGUCAACAAUGCACUGGGGCUUAGGAUCCCAGUGGAAACACAGAUUUUAAAAUGGUUGCCACUUCUUGCCAUAGCGUGCCUCUGCUUCUCUCUGUGGCCUUGCUCUCUUACUCUCUUCCAAUGACUGGUUUUGUCAUAGCCACCGACUGGACCAAAGUUUUAGAUGUAGCAGGUUCAGUAGCCUGGAGAGAAACCCAUCCCUUUUCCAAAGACAAAAGUCACAUUUUCCCAGGGGAUAAGAUUAAUUAGGCUAAAUUGAGAUGGUGCCUACCUCUGAAUUGGUAACUCAGAGCUAGGGGAACAGGAUAAUGUUACACAAACCGCUCCCAUGGAAACCAUGUGGCUUGAAGAAAUGGGAAGACAAGGUCCGGAAAAGCAGGGACAGUGGUAGGACAGACAGUGUAUAGAUGUCCGGUGUGGCUGGUUUUCCCUGCCGCCUACUAUCUUUGUUUUUUUUUUUUGAGACAGGGUCUCACUCUGUCACCCAGGCUGGAAUACAGUGGCAUAAUCUCAGCUCACUGCAACCUCCGCCUCCUGGGUUCAAAUGAUUCUUCCACCUCAGCCUUUUGAGUAACUGAAACUACAGGUAAACACUACCAUGCCCCACUAAUUUUUGUAUUUUAGUAGAGAUGAGUUUUGCCAUGUUGCCCAGGCUGGUCUCAAGCUCCUGAUCUCAAGUAAUCCACGUGCCUCGGCCUCUCAAAGUGCUGGGAUUUACAGGCACAAGCCACCACAUCUGGCCUCCCGGCCAUCUUCAAGAAAGGAGAUGGAGCCGGCUUCUCUGAAAACUCAUUCAGGAAAGUGGAAUUGAUUACUAACUUGGACAAUACUUCACCUAGCUUGUGGACAUGCCUUCUCCUAAACUCUCUCUGUUUCUCUUUACCUUUCCCAUCGUCCUGCCUGUAGGCAAAGGAAGGCUUGCUGAGGCUUCCAAGUGAAAGGUACUGGCACGUUUUACAAAGACCACUGGACAGUUACAUGAAACACUUUGCUCCUUUGCUGUCCUAAGAGCAAGCACAUUGGUGCUUGGUAGAAGUGUCCUGGGGAGGUAAGCACCGACUCUCAGUGAUGGUGAGGUGUAUUUCAGAACCCAAGCUUCUGUCAGAGAGCAUGUAGAUUUUGUUAUUUCAGUAUUAGCAGCUUAUUCUCCGUGGAUUUUGUCGCGUAAAUAUCAGGAGGGAGUGUUUUCCCGACUGACACCUUAGAAGCACUCUUUGUGGCAAAGUCACAAACGUUUCCAGAUCUUGCUGGGCCUGGAGAUGGCUGCACCACUGGAGAUGAUCUGUUGGUGUCACUUGACACAGUGUGAGAGGUCAGGCAGGAGUGAAGAGUGUUGUCUGCAUACAAAGUGGAAACAUUAUCUGCUCUGUGGGGAGGCCCAUCAUGCUCAGCCUGUUCAGGAGGGAGACUGACACAUGUGGGCCAUUCCGCGGAGCCUUUUCUCUGUCACAGUCCAAAGAAGCCUGACACUUUCAGAGGAAAAUGACACUGAAAGCACUCAGGCAGAGGAGGAGCAAGCAUGACCAUACUUUCUGGACAGCCCUGCUUCAUGCACUCAUGCCAGUCAUUGUUUUGUCCACCUUAGCUAAUCCAUUUCUAAUUUUUUGUUCCUUAAAAAAAAGAACAAAAGUCAACCAUCAUUUACUGAGUUAUUUUUUAAGAAACUUUUAGGUGGAAGUUUACAUGUGCAGGUUUAUUAUAUAGGUAAACUGCGUGUCAUGGGGUUUUCAUCACCCAAAUAAUAAGCAUAAUACCCAAUAGGUAUAAUACGCAAUAGGUAUGUAUUGUUUACUGAAUUUUCACUGUGUGCUAGGACUGUGGCGUGCUGAAGAUGGCUUGGACAGGCUUAUGAGAGCUUCAUUGUUUCAUUUGCAGGAAUUUUGCAAGAUGUUAAACACAGCCAUUAUUAAAAUUCAAUUAUAUUAUCUUAUCCUUAAAAACAAACACAAUACAUUCAGCUUAUCAUAUUCUAGUUAUUUUACUCUUAUUUAUGCUCUUGAAGUUAUUCAUGUCUGUUGUGUCUGUAUGUUGGAGCUGCUGAAGGAUAACUUGCACUGUGCCUCUCCUGUCACUUUGGUGGCUUGAAAUUGUUCGUGUUGUGAGUAUUUACACCACAGAAAUCAGCAAAUGCUACAAACUCAAGCUUGGUCUAUUGUUUUGUUGAUGGUUUGGACUUAAAAAACGAUGGAGAAAAUGUCAAUAAUGAAAAGUAAUAGCAAAAACCGCAAUAAUUUGCACCAACCUAAUAUGAACAGCACAAAAAUUUGAGAAAAUAUUCUUUUGGUAUUUAAGACUAUUACCUAAUUCAGCAAACUAGUUGUAGUUACUCAUGUCGUUGACUAGUGAGUGAAGUUCUGAUAUACAUUUUUGUCUCACUUUUAUCUUAUUAAUGUGAAUGAAAGGAUCAACAUAUCUCUCACAGAUACAUUCGUCAGUUGCAGCUGUAGAUUGGCUAUGGAUACAAGAGUUCAGCAAAAUCAUUCAAAGCAUUUUGUGAGACUUAAUUGGCUAAAUGGAAUUUGCAAUAAUGAGUGUUAUAUAUUUCAUUAUUUUUUAUAAAUCGUGUACACAUUCUAUCAGUAUAAUUUACAGAAGUAUAUAUUCAUUUGCACAUAUUUUAGGAGGGAGGGCCAGUUGUAACUAUUAGCUAUUAUUUACUCUGCCAUGAAUAUACUUCCCUCUUUAUCUCACCCUCCAAGACCGAGUUCGGGGAUGAAUCUAUCCCUUCUUUGGGGUCCUUUGUCACAGCCCUUCUUCACAAUGCAUUAGGGUUCUGUGAAUUUUCCUCUACUUCCUAGAACAAACACAGUGGAAGGACAAGGGCUUUGAACAACUCAGUUCUGAACAUCUGGAGCUGAGUUCCAUGUUUGGUACAUAGGAGGUACCCAACAGGUGUUGGUUAAAAGAAACAGUAAGAGUCUUGAAGGCAGUGGGUGGGGAAGAGAAAAAGAAAAGAAGGAAGUCACUUACUUAGAAAAGGCUCAAUAGUCAAUACUGUGCAUCAUCUUUUAAAAUUUAAAUUUUCUUAGGGUUCCUAAAGGUCUAUGUAAAAUACAGUAAGCUUUGAUUUCCAAAACCACAACCUACAAAAGCCCUUGAUGGAGUAGAUUUGUCUGGGGGUUCCAUAUGUUUAGAGGAACAAGACAAGUCAAUUAUAUCAUUAUAAUUGGUAAUUAUAUCAUUAUAACUGGUAAUUAUGUCAUUCCCUGUAUUUGAUGUGUGUCUUGAGUGAUGCACAGUGGCCAGUCCUUCCUGUUCCCUUUAUAAUGUUCAUUGAGUCCUUCCUUGAAUGUGGCAGGCCCUGGAUUUUCCAUGCAUCGUGUGUGAGGGAACUGACAAUGGAACAUCAGAAGCCCAGGAGAACUUACAGCCCAUGCAUCCUCCCACUCCAAGAUCCUCCCAUGUGCCUUGACUGCAGGCUCCUCCCCAUACCCUUUUGGAGGGACCUGGAUACCAGCCCUCUUAGUCAAGAAGUAUUUGCAGUCUUUAAAAUCCAGUCAUUAUUGAUGGGCUGGCUGAGUUUCUUGUUCAAAAAGUGCACAGUCACCCAUCUCCCUAAAAUACACAUCCAGCCAAGGGUCAGGUUUCCCUCAGCCGCCAGCCACUUCUCUAAGAUGAGCAGUUGCCAACAAGCAAGCCUGGAAGCAAGCAAACGGUUUUCCUUUCUCCACCUCCAUCCCGUCAGUCAGAACCCCAAAGAAAGGUCAGCUGGAACCCGUCCAGCCUCCAGCCACAGCCCAGCACAGGGUAGACAUGUCAAACAAAACAGGAAAAAUUAUUUACCUUUCCCUUGUCCUUUCCCUCAAGUUUUAAUUUUAUUUGCCAUCGACUCAAGAGAGCCCACAAUAAGAAAAGGAAAUCAAGCCUAGAUCAUUGUCUCUUUCCUGGACUGUUGAACUAGACUCUGCUUUUGUCCUUGCCCCAUGCAAAUCUAUUCUUAAUUCAGAGGCUAGAGGGAUCCUGUUAAAAAGUAAAUCAGAAUAUGUCAUUCUUUUGCUCAGAACUCUCCAGUGGCUCUCCCGUAAUCAGAGGUAAAGCCAAAGCCUGCCAGUGUCUAAAGGCUCUACAUGAUGAGCUUCUACCCCCCCGGCCCUUUAUGUAUCUGAUUUCCUACUAUUCACUCCCUCCCUCCGUCCUCAACAGAUGCAAUAACCUUGUUGUUCCUUGAACUUAUCAAACACGUCUCACCUCAAGGCCUUUCCCCUCAUUGUUUCAUCUGCCAACCAUACUCUCCCCCAGAUAUCCAUGUGGCUCAUUCCCUCACCUCCUUCAUGUCUGUGCAAGCAUGACCUUCUCCAUGUCUGUGCAAGCAUGACCUUCUCACGUAUGGUGCUAUGCAGUGCUGCAACUGCCUUCUUCCUCUCUCUUGCUGUUCCUUCUCACCCUGUUCUAUUCUUUUCAUAGAAUGUAUCAUCUUCUAGCAUAACAUAUAAUUUAUAUAUUUAUUAUAUUUAUAGUUUGUCCCUCCCAAGUAGAAAUGUAAGCAGUAAGAGGACAUACAUUUUUGUCUUUUGUGCCUGUUUUGUCUGGAAUAGUGCAUGGCACAUAAUAGGAGCUCAAAUAUUUGUUGAAUGAAGUGUACUCCAUUUAAGACAAGGAAUCUGAGGCUGACUCUAAGUCACAAAUAUUAUUGAGGCAUUUGGGAGUAGACACCAGUUUCCUCCAUGCUAGAAGCCACAUUUGUCACCUAAUCCUUGCUUCCCUUUCGUUGACGACUGGACUCAGUGGGGAAAGUUCCAGGGAGUCCACUGUAGAGCUGAGUAGGCAGAUAGUGUUGGGAUUUUCUGAAUUUACUUUUUCAUCAAGGUCAAAAAAGCCAUGUGGAAACUCUAAAAUGUGGUUUUUCAGUUAAUGCAUUUUAUUGAAAAUGCACUUUUGUUUGAAUGAUAUUAUAUUAAUGUGUCAAAACUUACAGAAUAACUCUCAAGCAAGGAAUUGUUGGUGGUGGUAGUGGAGACAGGGAGAGGGAGGUGCAGUUGAGGAGAAGGAAUAUAGAAACAUUGGCUUAUUCAUGUGAGCUGCUAUUAAGAAAGCCAGUGCCCCCUUCAUAACAGGGAGCUCUGGGAAACCAAAUAGAAAACUCCUUUUUUAAAAAGAGACAGAUUAACUGAGUCAUUAUCUCUGAAUUCCCUUUCUGUUGCUUCUCACUCAGACUGCUGAUGAUUUUAUUUUUAAUUUAUCUAAGGGGGUUAUGAGUCAUUAUCGAGAUUAGUUUCCAUCAGGUUCUCUAUCACGAAACACUACAGUAACCUGCAGUACUUACCUGCUGCAUAAUAAAUUACCCCACAACUUAUUUGGUUAAGACAACAACCAUUUAAUUUGCCUGCAGUUCCAUGGGUCAGGACUUCAGAAUCCAUUUAGUUGGCUUAUAAUUGUGUAGGUUACAAAUUCAGGGCUUGGCUGGGUGGUCUUCCUGUUGCAGGUGGUGUCAGCUGGGAUCAUUUAUUUGGCUGCGUUCAGUUGGUGGCUGGGCUCAGCUCUGAGUCUGGCCUAUUGCACAUCUCUGGUGCCUCUGCAUUCUUGUGUCCCUCCAUCUGGCUUUGCUUUCUCCAGGGACUUGGUCUCCCUCACAGCAUGGUGGUGUAAGGUUCAGCCAUGGAACUUGCACAGCAGUAACACUUUUCCCAUAUUCGAUUGGUCAAAAUGGGACCAGAGCCAGCCUAUAUUCAAGCGGAGGGGAUUCUACCUCUCAUUGAAAGGCGGGGCAAAGAAUUGAUGACUGUAUUUAAUCCAUUACAUAAUCAAAUACAGGCGGUCAGUCUCCAACUAGGGUUGUGCUUUAUCUCACUUCUCUACUUAAUAAAAGAUGUAAAUAAAAAGUGUAAAAAAAGUUACAUUCAAGGAUCCUUGAGCAUAUAAGUGCCCCAAAUAUGCACCUUACUAUUUAUAAAUGCUCCCACUUAGUCAAGCAUUCACUUUACGAAUUUCUCUGCCUCCAACUCUGUUCCUGAAAAGGUAUUAUUUCUGCUUGGAGCCAGUCUGUCUUGCCACAGAAGUUGCUCCCCAAAUUCUAGGUUCUCAUCGUCAUAAAUCCCUUACAGUCAAACUUCCCCUAUCCCCAUUGUUUCUGCUUCUUCUGGGAGCUUGGAGCCCUGGUACAUCUUUUAAAAUGCUCUAAUUAUUAUAGAUGCAAAGAAAGAGAAAAUCUGGUUCCCACUGAGUAGCUCCUGUGGACUCUUAUUGUGGCAUGGAGUUUUGUUUCCUGUAGAAAACUUAGAUUUGCCAAGUCAUAAAUCUGGGUAAGCCAAGUAGCAAUUCAUUGUAAGAUGGAAAAGGUACAAUUGGAACUGAGCCCAAGCAAGACUAGAGAGCAUGAGAAGCUGCAUACACAGGGGGGCAAGGGUCCCCAUGUCGCCUGUCACAACUGCAUCAACACCCCUCCCUCAGCUCACAUCUGUGGCCAUACAUGGGAUCCCAUAGGACCAGCUAAGGAAAAGAAAAAAGCCUUAGCUUGGGGGUAUAUUUAGGUUGGCUCAGUAUAAAAAUACAGACUGAAAAUGAGUAGCUACUAUAUUAACCACCACACUCAGGGGAGGCUCUAAAAAAAGUAGAGAAGAAAAAUCUUGUUGAUGGGUGGAGCUGCAAGUAAUGCAUCUGGUCAUCUACUUUGCAUGGAAAGACAGGUGGCCAAGAUAAGAACAUAUGUAUACUCAUGGAAAAUGGCCAAUGAUUUAAUGGACCGGUUAGAGGUCUAGAAGAAAAUGCGCACUUGGAGAUGAGAUCUGGAGUAGAGGCAUGUGAACAGACCUGUGGAGAUGGACAGAAAAUGUAAAGAUUUUUGUGUAACAUGUUAAUGCCCAUUAUAAAGCAUCUAUCACAGAAAAGACAUUGGAUAUCUAAAUAGACAACAUGCUCAGCCAGUUUACAUUAGGCAGCAUUCAUCACUGGCUUCCCCAGAACUGGAAUGAUAGAUUGUCAAAUGGAUCCAUGAAGAGAGUGGUCAUGGUAGCAGAGACAGAGGUCCCACCUGAACGUAACCGCAUGGACUACCACUUAAAAAGACUGACAUAGCUCUUGCCCCUUCUGAAUGUCUAACCUGCCAGUACCAGAGACCCAUGCUGAGCCCCAAAUAUGGCACUACUCUUUGGAGACCAGUUGAUCACUUGGUGGCAAUUUCUUCUCAUAACAGUAGACACCUAUUUCAGGUGUCUGCCUUUCAUGCCUGCAGAGCCUCAGCCAGCACAUUAUCCAGCGGCUUAUGGAGAAACUGACCCACAGGCAUGGGAUCCCACAACAUGUAGUAUCUGAUCAGCUCCUUCACCGUGAAGGAGCUGCAGCAGUGGGCCCAUGAUCAUGAGCUCCAUUUGUUGUAUCACUUAACAAAAGGCCCAGAAGCUGCCACUUGAUAGAGCAUUGAAAGUUCUGGUGGAGCUUAAGGCAAGACUCUGUGAGAAUGGGGUGUGGGUGCCUUCCUCCAAGACAUGAUUUAAGCACUGAAUCAGAGACUCCUACAUGACUCUGUGUCCCCUGUAGGAAAAAUACAUGGAUAGUCAAGGGGUAGAAGCAGGAGUGGUCCUAAGUAGCAUCAAUCCCAGUGACCUAUUGUGUGGCUUUAUGCUUCCCUAUCCCAAAACACUGGGCUCUGCAGUGUGAGUGGUACUGGUCCCAAAAGUAGAACACUCCAGAAGAUAUAUGAAAGGAGAACUGAACUACACACUAAAAUACAGGCAUUUUUGAGUUCCUUGUGUUUAGGGACCAAUAGACAAGAAAAGGAGUCACUGUGUUGGCAGGGCUAACUGACUUAAUAAAAAAGAGGAGGUAGGGCUAUGUUAUACAAUGGGGGCAGGGAAAUAUAUAUAGAAGCGAGGUAGUAUCCCCUGCUGAAUUAUGAUUAUAGCAGUACAAGUGCGGCUAGCCCAGCUUCAUAAGAGUGUGAUUACCAGGAACUCAGACUCCUCAAGAGUGAGGAUUUCAUUCAUGUUACCAGGUGAGUCACCCAGGCCAGCUAGAGUAGUAGCUGAGAAUGAGAGGGGUUAAGGAUGGAUAGUGGACAAAGGAGUUGAUGAAUACUAGCUGUGACUCCAGGACCAACAGGGAGUGGGCUGCUGGACUGUAGAUCAUCCCAUGAACCUCCCUCUUCUAAGUUUUCCCUUAAGAAGCGAGACCCUUUGGAACCCAGAAGAGCUGCUCUGUAAACAUGUAGGAAAGUGGAAUCACGUGGCACAAGGGAGCACUGUGGCAGUCAUGGAGGUGUGGUCCCCAGAUCUGCCUUCAUGAAAGAACUUGCCAUCCAGCUGUCUGGAGGUCAGUUAGCUGACAGCCUCCAGCUGUCAGUACCUUCGGGAUUUGCCUCUGUUGAGUCUAGACAACAAUCUUCUUGGAAGGUCCUAGCCAAUGACUAAAUUGGGCAGGAGGUUUUAGGGUCUUGCCAUUUCUGCCCAACAUAGGAAUUCCUGCAAUAGGCAAUCUUAGUUUCCAUUGGGUUAGAGAUGUUGGCAAAUGUGCGCUAUGAUCUGAGACUCCUUCUGCCCAAUUUUGGUUCCUCUCUUCUUUAAGUUCUGCAUCAUAGUCUAAAGACUUUCCUUCCCAAUCUUUCUUUCCUUUUCAAAAUAUUUUCCAGGCAUUACCCUCCAAUAAUUCCCUUGCACUUUUAAACUCUGUCUCAGCGUCUGCUUCCCAAAGACCCAACUUACAUAAUAACCUAGCAACUUUUGGAAUGUAGGUAACUCAGUUUCUUUGAAGCAAGUACUGUUUCUUCAAAUCUAAGGAUUUGGAACACACAGAAUCAAGGAUGUGGAACAAAUGGAAUUGAAGCACAUUACACCACGUAAGUGUGCAAAUUGGUACAACUAGUUCAGAAAAGUAUCUGAGAGUAUUUGCUAAAGCCAAACAUUUGAAUUCCCUAUGACCCAGCCAUUUAAUCCUGGGUCUAUAUCCAUCAGAAGGUUGCUCAUAGCAGCUGAUGCUGUGGACUGAAUUGUGUCCUGAAAUUUGUAUGCUCAAUGUGAUUUGGAGAUGGGACCUUUGAGAAGUAAUCAGGUUUAGGUGAAGUCGUGGGGAUAGGGCCUUCGUGAUGGGACUAGUGUCCUUAUAAAGAGACAGAGAGAGCUUGCUCUCAGUCUCUCUACCCUGUGAGGACACACUGCGAAGGCAGCCAUCUGAAAGCAAGGAAGAGAGCCUUCACCAGAACUCAAUCGUGCUGGCACCCUGCUCUUGAACUUCUAGCUUCCAGAACAAUGAAAAAUAAAUUUCUGUUGUUCAAGCUACCCAAUCUAUGGUAUUUUGUUAUGGUAGCCAAAGCUGACUACAACACAGCACUAUUCAUGAGACAGUUGACCCCUGAACAACAUGGGGGUUAGAAGUGCCGACCCCCCACCUGGUUCAAAAUCCAUGUAUAACCUUUGAUUCCCCAGAACAGAGCUACUAAUAGCCUACUGUUGGCCAGAAGCCUUAUCAACAACAUAGUCGAUUCACUCAUAUUUUGUAUGUUGUGGGUAUCAUAUACAGUAUUCUUACAAUAAAGUAAGCUAGAGGAAAGAGAAUAUUGUUAAGAACAUCAUAAGGAAGAAAAAAAUGGUUCCUAUUUAUUAAAUGGAAGGCCACCAUCAUAAAGGCCUUCAUCUUUAUCAUUCUCUGAGGAUGAGGAGAAAGAAGAGGGAUUGGUCUUGCUGUCUCAGGGGAGGCAAAGGUGGAAGAGUUGGAGAAGGUAGAUGGGAGGCAGGUACGCUCAGUGUAACAUGGGGAAAAAAAGUGAAUCUGUGCAGUUCAAACGUAUAUUUUUCAAGGAUCAACUGUAGUUAAAAAAAAACCGCAAAGUAUCCAAAUGUCUACCAAUAGUAGAAUGGAUAAAUUGUGGUAUAUUCACAGAUCGGAAUAUGUUAAAACAAUCAGAACAAAUGAGCUACAAACAUAUAUGAAAAUGUGGCUGAAUCUCACAUGUAAUGUUGACCCUCCAAAUUAAACCAGACUCAAAAGAGUACAUAUUGUACAACUCCAUUACUAUAAUGUUUUAAUCCAGGAAAAACAAAUCCAUGCUGUGAGGAGCUAGGAGAAUGGUUCUGGAACGUUGUGAUUAAAAGUGGGCAUGAUGAGAUUCCGGGUGCUGCUCGUUUUCUGUUUCUUGAUCUGUGUAUUGAUUACAUGGGGGUUGAGUCUUGAAAGUUUAUUGAUCCACAUGCUUAUGAUAGGUGCACUUUUCUGUAUGCACCAAGUUUAUACUUCAUGAAAAGGUUUAUAGAAAUCUAAGGUUGUCAUUAAUUUUAAGGUACAACUUUAUAUAGGUUGCCAUAUAAGUACUAUGUUUCAUUAAUGUAUAAGAUGCACAUUUUUUUUCACAUUUUAAUAUCCUAAAUAUGGUGAUGUGAAUUAGGAUGGGUGGUGGUCAUAAAGUGGUUGCCAUCAUGAUGUAGUUGUCAUUGCCUGUACAUGUGUGAAUAUCAAGCCUCGAACCUUGAGAAAAGGGUAGGCAUCAGGAGCUAGGAAGAAAAUCUCAGAUUUCUUGUGUUUUCUAAAAUUACUUAUAAUUUUUAUAUUUAUUGAAAAAACUCUGUAGAUAUUAUCAGAAACAAUUUUUUUUCAUAUAGAGCUCUCACACAUAUGGACAAAGAGAAAUAUAAGCAAAGUAAACUGGUUAAGGAUUUCUAAGACUCCUCCACAUUCAGAGUCCUGUUGUUCUGUAAUAACCUCUCCACUGAGUCAUUCAUGUUGUCAUUUCUACAUCAUGUUAUUCUCCUUGCCAUCAGAAGCUUUGGUGACUCAGCAUUUCUUUAAAAAAAAUUCAUAAAAAAACUAAAAGCCACUGGUUCUGGGUUCUUAUUAAGCUGGAUUUUCAGUGAGGUGCUGCCAGUCUUCUGUGGUGGGAGCUAUCAUGUGCCACCCAGAUUCUCCUUCAGCAGUGAAGCACGCAUUCCCUCUGAUGCUGGGAGUGCUGCUGGCAGAGAGCCCUUCCCUGUUAGUCCCCUUUGAAAACUGGCUCAUUUGAAGAGGGCCACCUCAUCUGAGGUUGUGCUUGCUUCCCCAAACUGGCCAGCACAUGGAAUAAAGGCCUGGUUCCUUGUCCCAAAUAGGAACUAGUGGAAAGGAUCAUACCAGCUUCAGAGUUCCCCAUGGGUUGGGCUGAGGCCUUUAUUGUGACUGUGUCACAACUCAGUUUUUUCCUCUUUUUAAUCCUGCUUCCAUCCAUCAGUAGUGAACCUAAGAGCAUCCCCUGAUAAGCCUCUGACAUACAGGGCAAUGAGGCAAGAGAAGGAAAUACAGCGUAUUCAAACAGGAAGAGAGGAAGUCAAAAUGUCUGUUUGCAGACGACAUGGUUGUAUAUUUAGAAAACCCUGUCGUCUCAGCCAAAAAUCUUCUUACGCUGAUAAGCAACUUUAGCAAAGUCUCAGGAUACAAAAUCAAUAUGCAGAAAUCACAAGCAUUCCUAUACACCAAUAAUAGACGAAUAGAGAGCCAAAUCAUGAGUGUACUCCCAUUCACAAUUGCUACAAAGAGAACAAAAUACAUAGGAAUACAACUUACAAGGAAUGUGAAGGACCUCUUCAAGGAGAACUACCAAGCAUGGCUCAAGGAAAUAACUGAGGACACAAACAAAUGGAAAAGCAUUCCAUGCUCAUGAAUAGGAAGAAUCAAUAUUGUGAAAAUGGCCAUACUGCCCAAAGUAAUUUAUAGAUUCAGUGCUAUCCCCAUCAAGCUACCAUCAACUUUCUUCACAGAAUUAGAAAAACUACAUUAAAUUUCAUAUGGAACCAAGAAAGAGCCUGUAUAGUCAAGAGGAUCUUAAGCAAAAGAACAAAGCUGGAGGCAUCAUGCUACCUAACUUCAAACUAUACUACAAGGCUACAGUAACCAAAACAACAUGAUACUGGUACCAAAACAGAGAUAUAGACCAAUGGAACAGAACAGCAGCCUCAGAAGUAAUGCCACACAUCUACAACCAUCUGAUCUCUGACAAACCUGACAGAAACAAGCAAUGGGGAAAGGACUCCCUAUUUAAUAAAUGGUGUUGGGAAAACUGCCUAGCCAUGUCCAGAAAACUGAAACUGGACCCAUUCCUUAAAACGUAUACAAAAAUUAACUCAAGGUGGACUAAAGACUUAAAUGUAAGACCUAAAACUGUAAAAUUCCUAGAAGAAAAACCUAGGCAAUACCAUUCAGGACAUAGGCAUGGGCAAAGACUUCACGAUUAAAACACCAAAAGCAAUGGCAACAAAAGCCAAAGUUGACAAAUGAGAUCUAAUUAAACUGAAGAGCUUCUGCACAGCAAAAGAAAUUAUCAUCAGAGUGAACAGGUAAGAGUAUUCCAUGGUGUAUAUGUACCACAUUUUCUCUGUCCAGUCUAUCACUGAUGGGCAUUUGGGUUGGUCCCAAGUCUUUGCUAUUGUGAACAGUGCUGCAAUAAACAUACAUGUGCAUGUGUCUUAACAGUAGAAUGAUUUCUAGUAUAUACCCAGUAAUGGGACUGCUGGAUCAAAUGGUAUUUCUGGUUUUAGAUCCUUGAGGAAAUCAUUCUACUCUUAAGACACAUGCACAUGUAUGUUUAUUGCAGCACUGUUCACAAUAGCCUAUCUUGUUCUACUACAUUCCUAUUUUGUGGAUUCAUAAAAGACGUUUUGUUAACAAUUUUGUAUGUUUGAACUUUCUAAAUAGUUUCUGACGUAUAUAAAUGACAAAAGAAGCAACUAAACCUAAUUUUGUUUUAACUAGUUUCAUAUUAUAAGUUUUGUCAUGAUGAAAGUUGCCAUUUAUAUCCAGGAAACAUCCCAGUUCUGGCACAUUUCUGCCACAUUUCCUUCUGCCAGCCCCUCAGUUUUGACCUUUGUCAUUUCACACAGAGAUAAGCAUGAUGUACUUUAAUAAUAAAAUAAAAUAAAUCUCUGGCAUAAUUAUAUCCAUUUCAGAGUCUGCUUCCUGGGAAACCCAAUCUGCAACACUUGUUUUUGACUCCUGUAUGGGAAUGUUUUAUUGAUUGCUUCUCUCACCCAUCCCUUCAACAAUUUUAUUCCUAAAGGUAAUGACUGCUUCUCUAGUGCUUUGGAAUUUUAUCCGAAGUUGCUAACACCUGCUCAUUUUGCAAGUUUUGAAGCUGGUACCUUUGACCUUCCAUGUUAAAUAGACAAUGGCUACGACAUCACCACUACAAACUGGCCACCUAAACGCUACUGUAAGAGGCCAUUGUAACUCUCAGCCCCAUUUCAAAGAAAAGGAAAUUAAGUUCCAGAAAGGUGAAGAAGGCAGUGACUGCUGAGAUGUGGAGCCAGGAUCCAACCUGAGCCAUCUGACUCUGGAGCUACUUGAGUCUCUCUAGCCCUGUGACACACUAUAAAAGCCAAAGAAUAUCUUCCAAGAGUUGAUUGCUAAUGUAACAGCACACUGCCAGAUUAAAAUUAUGCUAGCAGAAGUGGUAUGUAUUUCAACUGUAUGUGUGUAUGUAUGUGUGUGGUGGUGGUGGUGGUAUGUGUUUGUGUGCAUGUGUGUGUGGUGUAUGUGUGUGUAUUUUUCAGAAAAAAAUGGGGAGAAAAGCAAAUUAUAGCUCUUAGUUAGAAGAAGAAUAAAUGAGGAUGAGAAAUCUAGCUUGUCUCACAAUUAAUACUAGAUGAGGCAAAAAGGGUUUCCUGUGGCAAAGGGUUUAAAAGAGUUAUCAAACUUAAACAUGUCAUGAAUGUUUCUUUUAUAAACAGAAAAUGUUCCAGGUUUGCUGACCUUUUUUGUGAUGAAAGUGCUGUCAGUAAAAUGUACCCAAAAGAUAUCUGGAAAAAAUAAAUACACUUGUCUUUUCAAGGCAAAGGGUAUGUUGUAACAGCAGGAACAACAGCCUUUUAAAAUAAACUCAUGCUUUGGGGAGAGUAUACUGAAAAUGGAGAGUGAAAGCGUCUCCGGAGUUAUAUGAUUUUGAGGAUGAAAAUGACGUAAGCAGGCCAUCUAUAAAACUAACGUAUCUGUUUACUUUAAAAACUUGGAAACAGGAUGUGCUAAUCUUUUGAAAAAUCUUCUAAAGUAAACUAGUUUGUUAGUAAUGUGAAAAGAUAAAAGCUUCUAAUUAUCUUGUAAGAACAACUGAUUGACAUCAGGAAAAAUGGAAAUUAUUAGCUGAAUUUUAACAAAGACCUUUGCAAGAUUGGUGAAUGGGGCUGAAAAUGAUUUUCACUAUUUGUAGGCAUAGGCCAUGAAGUACUUCUUUCAUUUGCUAUCUAUGCAUAUCAGUGAAGCCCCUUUUCAGUUAUUUCAAAACCGAGUACUGGAAUAAUCUGAAUUUAGACCUAGAACUGCACACAGCAACAUCACAGUGUUAAAUGAAGAUUAUUUUAAAACAUGCAUAUUUACCUUUGCUAAAACACAUUUUUUAAAAAGUGAGGACACAAAUAUGCUGUGCCCUAAUAAUUAAAAUGAACAUUAAGACGUUUUUAGGAUAGGUUCAUGGGGCACAUUUGCAGGUUGAUUACAAAGGUAUCUUGCAUGAUGCUGAGGUUUGGAGUAGGAUUGAACCUGUCACCCAGGUAGUGUGCAUAGUACCCAGUAGGAUAUUUUUCAACCCUUGCCCUCCCUGCCCUCAUCUUGUAUUUCUCAGUGUCUGUUGUAAAGCCUGUUCUGAAAAACAGUUUAUUAGAUAUUUGUAUUUUCCUUUUAAAAUUCCAAAGUGUAGAAUUUGGGCUGGCAGCAUUGGGAUCACCUGGGAGCUUAUUAGGAAUGCAGAGUCUCAAGCCCCACCCUCACCUUAUUGCUUUGAGUUAAAUGGAGGAAUCCUCAGCGUGGAUGAGUUUUGCCAUAAGUACAAUCAGGAGAUGACAGAGCUACUUUGCUCUUUGCUGGGUAGGUAGGUGAUAGGGUUGAGAUUUUGAAGACUAGAGUAAUUCUUGACAUUUCAAAGUAUGUUUAUAAUAAAAUAGACUUUCUGGGAGUAGAUGAAGCCAUUACAUGGUGUAAUUCCCAACCCUACCUUUAUGAUAGCACCAAAUAGGAUAAUUCUGCAAUAAUACUAGCUAAUAUAGAAGACUUAUAUGUGCCAGGCAUUGUCCUAAGUUCUUCUUAGAGAAGAAUUUGGACCUAGUCAGUAUAGCUCUAGAGCAUAUGAAUUAACCAUGAUACCACACUGCCUGGGUAUCAGAUGUAUAAAGGAAUAGAUACCCACAAAUUAGGCAUGCAUCUACAGAGUUUUUUUUUGAUGAGGAACAUGAUUUAAAAAAAGUUGGGGGAUACUAGGCAACCAGCUCAAAUGCUACUGUGACAUAAAAAGCCUUUUCGAAUCUGGCCCAACCAAUGUCUCUGACCCCACUUCUUGCUCUGCCCCCUUGAAACCUGUGCUUUGAAUUCCUCCAUCUUGAACUGGCAUCCUGGCAGUUCCCUGAAUUCUUGAUGCUUUAUUCCAUCCCUGACUCCUAUCUCUCCUUCAGAAUUCAGCCUGGGUACUGCCUGCCCAUCCUAUUUAAUAUCUGCCCUUCCCCCACAAGGCCAGUCCCGACAUCCUUUGUACACUGUCAGCAUUGUCUGCAUACUCUGCAUGACACUUGUCCCACUAUUUUCUAAUCAUCUAUUCACUUGCUUGUCUACCACCCUUGAGGGCAGCGCUUUAUCUUGCUUCUUUGUGUAUGUCCUCACCCAGAGCCUGGCACAUAUUAGGAGCUGUUUGCAUGAAUGAAGGAUUGAUGAAAGAGAAAGCAACCAUUGCCCUAGGAGUUGUUCUAGGAUCUGUUAUUUGUGUAACGGCCACCAGAGGGGGGCAGACGAACAUGGUCCAGUGCACAGCACACAUCUAGAACUCCAGGUAGAUCAUUCAAAUACUUAUUCUAGGACUGGAAGGGAAGCUCACUGGUCAUGUAGAACAUUCUUCUGUUUUAGACAAAAAUUAAACCCUUUCAGGUAAGCAAAGUAAUAUUUAAAGUUUUUAAGUCAAAAAGAAUUGUUUGCAUCUACACAGACUUUAAAUCUGAAGAGUUGGAUUCUGGUUCCAAUUCUAACAUUAUUUAGCUUGUCUGAUCUCAGAUGAGACCCUUGGAUUUUGGAGACUUAGUUUCUGAAUCUGACAAAUGGGCAACAUACUCAUUUGGACUACCUCCCAGGAGUGUUUUGAGACCCACAGGUAAUAAUGCACAUGAGCACCCUAAAAAUGACAAGGUAACAGAGUAUAAUAAAAAUCAAUGGGUAAAUAAAAAUAAUUUCAAUCUCCCUUGUUCAAAAUUAGCUUUUCUGAAAUGUGAGUUGAAAGGCAAAGUAUGAACACGGAGUUGCAAUGGGCAUGGACUUGAGAGCAUAGAUGCAUCGAGAUUUUAAGCUGUGUAUUGUUUGGACCAUUUUAUUCAUUCGGCUCCUGCUUGACCACGUCAGCUCCACUGCCAGAGGCCAGCUAAUCCCUCUGCAUCUAGCAUCAUCUAUGCCUGGAUAAUUAACAUACCUCACCACACAUGUAUAUUUUUUCUUUCUUUUGUAAAUGUGCAUGAAUGCUAUUACAAUAAAUAAAACACAAAUUCAUAGAAAAAUUUUCCUGAGUUUCCAGUCACAUUUACGAUAAUGUAUUUUUUCUUCAGAUGGGGUCUGGCUCUGUAGCCCAGGCUGGAGUGCAAUGGCACAAUCACAGUUCAUUGCAAUCUCAAACUCCUGGGCUCAAACAAUCCUUCUGCCACAGCUUCCUGAGUACCUGGGACUACAGGUGUGCACCACCAUGUCCAGCUAAUUUUUACAUUUUUUUUGUAGAAAUGGGUGUCUCACUGUGUUGUCCAGGCUGUUCUCCAGCUCCUGGUCUCAAGCAAUCCUCCCACCUCAGCCUCCCAAAGUGCUGGGAUUGUACGAAUGAGCCACUGCAUCUGGACCCAUAAUGUAUUUUAAAAAAUCAACAUAUAUUUUAAAACAUAUUUAGGAUUGAGUUGCAUUAUAUGCAUACUGAACCUAUGCAAACAUGACUCUGUGGGUUUAGCAAAACAAAGAAAAAGAAAAAAGAAAUUCUCGCAAACAGCAAAACAAAAAUUAAACCCACGAUCUUUUAAUAGAGUUGGUGAUUUGGUUCCAUGAAGGGAUGGCGGCCCAGACUGAGCAGGGACUAGUGGAUGUGACUGCUUCCCCUCAGUGGGUUUCAGCUCUUACCAACACCUCUCAUAAUAGAGUGUAGCUCUGUAUUUGUCAGUAAUUUAAGAAGUUUUUUUUUUGUUUUGUUUUGUUUUGAGACAGAGUUUUCGUUCUUGUUACCCAGGCUGGAGUGCAAUGGCACAAUCUCCGCAACCUCCGCCUCCUGGGUUCAGGCAAUUCUCCUGCCUCAGCCUCCUGAGUAGCUGGGAUUACAGGCAUGCGCCACCAUGCCCAGCUAUUUUUUUUUUUUUUUUUUUUUUUGUAUUUUUAGUAGAGACGGGGUUUCACCACGUUGACCAGGAUGGUCUCGAUGUCUUGACCUCGUGAUCCACCCGCCUCGGCCUCCCAAAGUGCUGGGAUUACAGACUUGAGCCACCGCGCCCGGCUAAGCAGUUUUAAAGGGAAAGUUUUACAUGAGCAAUCAUUUUGCCUUAUAUUUUUCUUUUGAAGCCAGCUCACCAUAGAAGAUGCUAUUUCACAUGUGAAGGGAACAUGACAUUUUGGGGAACAAAAUAGGAACCAUCAGUGGAAACGCUGAUCUAGCCUAGAAAAAAGGCUCCCAGUGCCUUCCUAGAAAUUGGGGUAGAGCCCAGACCUCUCACUUUAAGAUCUAUGCUCUUUCUACCCACCACUGUGCAGGUUAACAUGAAUUGCAUUCUGGAGCCUAUCCUCCACCCAGGCCUGGGCGAAUCGGUGAACCCCUAAACUGUGCAUACAGCCGAGGCUUGUCUUUCGGUACAGGCAGUCUAUCCCCACACAGUUUGCACCCCCAGAUCUUUGUUUUUCAGGGUCCUGCCUGGUCAUUAUUUUCAUUGUCUUUCAUGUGCUACCUUUAUAUAGGAAGCAGAAUGUGAGCUGGAAGCGAUUUUCAAGUCAGUUUUGAAUCUCAGUCAGGGCAAUCAGAGGCAUGUGGGAAAAGCUCUCAGAGGCUGGGCAGCCUUCAGAAGGCCACCAGCACGUGAUUUCCUCUUCUCUCUUCCUCCCUCAGUAAUGCGAAGGCCAGAUGCAUCCUAGCCCCCACCACCUCACCCUCUGGCCUAGUUUUUGAGCUUCCUUUUCCUCUUGGGUGAGGCCAUGCUUCCUUGACACUCUGGCCUCUACUCCUUGAAGGCCAGAAGUCACUCCUGGGGCGGAGGAGGACCAGUCCGUCAACAAGAAGGGGAGGGUACUGGGGCGGGGGAGCAGCAACAGCAGCUGGCAGGCCCAGGAUGUGAGCGGGCAGGCCUCAGUGGGCAUUGGGACAGUGGCUUGCUUACCCCUCACCCUCUAAACUCAGGAAGGCUGACUUCUGCCCUCUCCGGCGGGUGAAGUCAUCUCUCUGUGAGGGGAAGUUCAGCACUGAGCUGCCACAACAAACCCUCCAAAUGCCAAAAGAGGUGGCGGAAAUUAGGAUUAUCAUAGCUCCAAAGGUUUACUGACUGUCUUGAAAAUCUGAGUAAGCUUCUCUCAGAGGUGGCGGAAGUUUCCUCCAGCUCCCAUUGCUGGCUGACCCGAGCUUCUGGGGCGGAAUUUCUUUAGACCCCAAGGAAAACUUGCCAACCUUGAAAGCCUGUAGAUACCAGAACAGGCUGUGAAGACAGCGGAGUCUACUUUGGAGGUCUUUUAAAAUAGGAUAACUUGUCUUCACUCUGUAAUGGUCUGGAAUGACAGUCUGUAAAAAAAAAAAAAAAAAAAAAGAAAGGAAAACAUGACAACCACAAAGCUCUUAAUUUGCACCAACUCUUGAUCUGAAGCUGUUGUAGAUUUGCUUCAAGUCCUCACAUUCUUUGAUUUCCUGUACAAUAUUAAACACAUAUUGAAGAUGCUUUGCAGCACCCAGAUACUGGAGCUCCAGCGUAGAGGAAGGAAAUGAAUAUUUGGCAGGAAAAUCCCAGGGACACAACUUUGUUUGGAACAUUAUGUCUACCACACAAAUGGAGGUGAAAAUUCACCUCUGAGGGGCUGAUAGGAGUUUUCCCCAUUAAGUAACCUCUUCCCUCCAUUUAAUUGUGAGGAAGUUUGUAGCCUCUGCAUCCUCUCGCCAGGCUCUGUCCUCGUUUCCUCACCUCUUUUGUAAUCUAGGUUCCAAGACUUCCAGAAGACUCUCUUGAUGGGUCUUUACUCCCCUAUUCCUGCUUUAACAGAGGCACAUGGAGGCAGGAAGUGGGACGAGGAAGGCAGCUGAGAGGCGGUCAGGGGACACUGACCCGAGACUCCCCUUCACUCCCUCUGCCUUCUCCAGCCAUACCCUCAGAUCUGUGUCUAUACUUGGCUGUGUUUUCUGAACCCAAUUAAUGACAUGGGAUCUGACAAGGACAAGUGUACUUAUGGGCAAAGUGGAUGCAGUGUACUUGAGACUGGUUCUGUCCCAGGGAACUGGGAAUCCCAGUGAUGGGUCACACACAGAUCUCCUAACUCAAAAAUCGGGUGCCUGCCAAUUUACUUCUUUAGACCUUGUCUGUGUGGCAAGGAUGUCACAUACAAACAAAUUCAUGUGUAGAUGAGGCCAUGCCAGUCAUGACUUAGGGACAUCAAAUAGUGUGAGAGCUAUUUGAGGAUGUUGGGCAGCCCUGGAAAUGCUAUCUUUGAUAGUGUCCCCACCAUCCCAAUUGCAGUAAAAGGGCCUUCCACCUCCUUGGAAAGUACAUGGGUGCUGCAGUUGACAUCAUAUAAUGUUUAAUGUGCUUAAACAUUUACUGAAUUGUAUUUAUUCUGUUUGAGUGACAGUAUUUUUUUUUUCAGGUCUUAAAUGUUUCUUAGGACAUUCAAAAUUACUCUGCCUGUAGAUCCGGUGGAUAAAAUGUCCUAGGCAUUGAACACUGGCUUUGAGGACUCAACAUGAAAAAUAAAGUAUGCAUACUCCUUUAGCAUAUGCUCUGCAGUCCAAAUGUAAGCAUGACCUUAAAAUGUACUUUUGUGGUGAGGAGAGGACAGUGGUGCUGCUGAGAGAAGGAAGAGUCUCAAAAUUUCCAGCGAAGGGAAAUUACUCCACUCAUCCUGUUUUCCUUGGGAGUGAAUGGAAAGCAAUCAUGUUAAUUAAAGGGGAGCAAAUGUCCUUAGGUUUGCCUUUAUUUGGGGAAUACUUUCUGUUUUACUUUUGGGGAUUCUUCCUAAAAUGUCCCUUUAGGGCUGCUUCCCCAUCGAUAGGGGUCUAUGACUUUGGUGCUAUGGUUCCCUCAUCACAAGUCUUCCACUAUGAAGGUUUCCAGGACCCCCACUGUAGGUGUGAGACUUUCCAUUUGUAAGGAAUGGAGGGGAGUAGUCAGUUGAACUUUGAUGGUGGGCAUUCACAUUCAUGGUAAGGAUACACAAGAAAAGUGAGGAGUGCUGUUUUGUUUCAGCAAGUGCAGUUACCCACUUGACAAACAUUUGUUGAGUCCCGACUGUGUGAUGACCGUGUGGUAGGAGAGAACACGACAGAUAAGGUUCCUGCUUGCAUGGAGCUUGGCUGUUUGAUAGAUAGUAAACAAAGGGCAUAAAUAAACGAGGUGAUUUCAGAUGGUGGUAAGCGCUAUGAAGAAAAGAAUCUGGUGACGUGGUAAAGAGGGAUAGGGAGAAGAAUGUGAGAUGGUUCAGAAAGACUUCCUAAGAAGUAGCAUUGUAGCCAAGCCUUGAGAGUGCUAAAUGAGCCAGCUGGGAAGAGGUCUGGGGGCAGGAUUUUCCAGGCAUAGGAAAGUACUGGCCAAGCCCCUUAAGCGAAAGCUUUGGCAAGUUUUAGGAACACAGCGAAGGCCAGUGGGGCAGGAGCAAAGGGAGCAAGGGUGAAUGAUGGAAGAUGAAGUCAGACCCAGCGAAAACCAGAAUGUGUUCACCAUUGCGCCCAAUGGUCGCUCUGGUGCUCCAGACAUCUUGUCCCCACAGAAUUGAAAUCCGUUUCUUUCUACUCCAUUGACUGUCACCCUCAUGACUCAGUAGCUUUUUGAAUGAGCUUCUCUCUUUCACUGCCUCAUCAUCAGCAUCUUUCUGCUUCUCUAUCCCUCUCUCAAUUCAUUUUGCUUUAAAAAUUCCCAAGGGUGGGGAUCUGGGUAUGUUGGUUAAUACUAUUUAAUAAGAAGUGGUCCUAUUGGUCAGAGUCUCACACUAGGCUUUCUCAUUGGCUGCUGGUCUCCCUUAGGUCCAGCUUCCCUGGCCUGGACUCCUGGUUCAAUCAGUUGCGGCCAGGGUGUAAUGAGCUAGAGCUUGGCAGCUUAUUUUGAAGGAAAACUGUAAUGACUACUUUCAUCAGGAUCAAGUUGUGUAUUGUGUACUGGGUCAAAAUUAAAGAGACGGACAAAAUUCUUAGAGGUAGGUUAUAUAUCAUCACCUUGCAGGCUACAAACCUGAUGGGGCUUUUUACAAAGGGCUUAGUUCUUAGCUACUCACUGAACCUUCCUCAGAGACCACUGAGUCUGAUCCUUUACCAUCCAGAUCUAAACACUUAGAAGUCAGCUGUCCAGUGUAACCUCUUCCUAUUGGCUUUUUCUUUCUGCCAAUUGUAUCUUUCAUCCCCACAUGCAUUUAUGCUGCGUCCUUGCCAUUUUCUUUCUCCUGGACUUUCUUUCUGGACUGAUUGUGUGGAUGGCUUCAACAUAUAACAGAGCAGAAGCACUUUAUGUAAGAGAACUGCAGCUUCCACCUGUUGGAACACCUCUUCAUGGAACCCAGAUACCAUGCUGCAAGGAAGCCCAGUUAGCCAUGUGAGAAACCAAACUGGAUAAUGGAGGCCUCCAACCAGCAACUCCAGCUGAGCUCCCAGCCUGACAGCCAGCACCAACUGCCAUUUAUGUGAGUGAAGCCAUUUAGGGCCUUCUAACCAUCCCAGUGCUGCAGCCAACCUUAGUUUAGUAUACACACACCUUACCCCUGCCAAACCCAGGGAGGUAUACAAUGCUGGGUCAACCCACAGAACUGUGAGAAAUAGCAAACUGUUUUCUUCAAAGUCCCUAAGCUUUAGUGUGGUUAUAUGAAGUGAUAGUUAACCUUGUAAGGGACAGCAAGUAGAUUACACUGAAUGCAUCAUAUUUGGCCUUAUAGAACCUCAGAAUUCAAGGGCUGUAGGCCUAUGAAAAUUGAAAAUGAAAUUUUCAUUUUACUUGAUAAUUGCUUCUUUGGAGAAUCAAUAGAAGAGACUUUCUAUCCUAAUGACAAGCAGCCGAGGCCACCCUGGACCCUAUUGUGGUGGUGGAGAUUUAGGGAGAGACUGCAGGCAUAGCAAGGUGGGGAAGGGAGGGAGCUGGAGUAAAUUCAGGUGUAGAUAGGUAAGAUUGAGUCUGUGACAUUUUACUCAGAAGGUUCAGAAUUUGGCAUUGUUGUUUCCUGUAGAAUGAGGGAAGUUCACAUGGAUAUUAUUUAUUAUUCAGAUGCUAAUUCUUUGGAUGGUGAAAUGAAAAACCUCCUGCUUUCUCUCUCCCCUUUCGUUUCACUUUCUGCUUUGCUUUCCUUUGCUCAUACUAUUCCUUUUUUCCUUCUUUUUGAAGGGAAGAAACAGCAGCAAUGUCCAAACCUGUUUUUGUGCUCCAGCCUGAAAUUCAAAUUUGGUCCUUACCCAAAGUCAAUAUUUUGGGAGAAGUUUGAACUAAGUCAUUCAUGCAAUCUUGGGUUUCAAAUAUGAAAAAUCCCUACAGUUUUCUACUUAAAAAGAAAUAAAAAGUCUGAAAACGCUGUACCAAAAAGCUAUCAACCAUUGGAGGCUGUCAACUUCAAACUUGGCAGGAAAAAAUAAUCACCAAAGGAGGAAAUUCAAGUCAAGUGUGGCCAAAGCUUGUAAUGUGUUAAAGGCACGUAGACCAGAGCUCAUGCAGGGUAUUGGCAGGUGAAACCCUGCACUGCAACUGACCUGUCACUGUGCAGGAACCUCUAGACAGGGGCCUCUUGUUUGGAUAAUUGUGGUGAUCUCAUUAAUUGGUCUCCCUGAUUCAAGUCUGUAUCUUUUUAAAAUCACAAAUCUGAUCAGGUCAUUUUCAGUGACUGCCCGUUGUCCUCAGGAUGAAUCAGUACUUCUCAGCAGGACUUAAGAAUUGACAGCCAUGUUCCAGCUAUGAUUCUCUCUCUGGCCACAUCUCUGGUCACACCCAAACUCACACCCCUUUCCUCAGUCACACUGAGCUUCAUGAUGUUCCAACAAUGUUCAUUGCUCUCCAGCAUAAGUCUCUGUACAUGCUGUUCUUUCUCCUGGAACUGCACCUCAUUCCCAACUUAUCUGUCCACCAAGAAUCAUUUCAGAUGUCACCUCUUCCAGGAAGGACUAGAAAUACCCCAGCUGAAUUCCCACAGCAUCUGGGAAUUUAUCAUGUUGUAUAAUAAUAAUCAGCUUACACAUAUAUCUCUGUUACUAAACUGUUAACUCCCUAAGGUCAGUUACCAUGCUAUAUUUAAUUUUUUAAUUCUUAAAACCUAACACAUAGUGCCUGGCUUAUAAUAGAUGCUCAAUAAACCAUUUUGAAUAAAAAAUUAAUGAAUGCCCCUGAACCCCACCUACAUUUUUGCAUCAUGGGGAGAAACCAGAGGGAUGUAGGGUAGCAGGGCUUUGAGGUGACCACAGAGUCCAGACACUGAGACCAGAAGACAAUUUUAUGUUCAUGUCAUAGUUUUGCCAGGAAUUAAUUCUUCCCCGAAAAAUGUCUCCCAUGAGAACCUACACCCACAGCCACUCAACAGGACAGCGUUCUUGUUUUUUGAAGUCUUGCUACAAGGGACUCUGUCGCAAAGAAUUGGAAUUUACUCAUUUAAUUAACAAAGAUAUUCUGAGCUUCAGCUGUGCCAGGACUUGUACAUAUAGAAACAUGAAGGCAACAUGACUUGUUUUUCUCAAGGAGCUUAUAGAGUGGUGGACAAUGGGUAACAGGAUUUGGUUUUGAUUUGACGCUAGUCUGGGGGAGGGCCUCCUCAUUUACUGGGGACUCAGUGGACCAGUGUUAAUUCUGCUCUAAAAAAAAUUAAAAUUUUUUUUCUAGGAGAGAAAAUUAAAGCUCACCCAAGAAAACAAAUACAGAUGAUGUAUCUCAUCAUGGAAACAAAAGGUUUUGUUUCCAUGAUGAGAUAUGAUACAUUAACAAAUAAAUAAGACACCAGAUGCAGAUACUUAGAAAUCAGGAAAUUCAUCAUGUGCUUCCUGUAUAUAUAACUCAGUCACAAGGAUGGAACAGACUUUUCUGCUUAAAGACUGAAUAUGUACCUAAAAUCCUUGAGGAUUAUGGUCCAAAUUCUGUUUGUGGGAUAAAAUGUCCUCGAGUGAGAUGUUUAGUAUGGGAAUGGGAGAUGGUGAGAGCCUAAAAUUGGUCUUUUGUUCUCUAGAUCAAGCCCAGAACUGAUGCUGGGAAGGAUUUUAUUAUGUAAACAACAUCAAUAACUGGAACUAUGUCAGUGGAUCACAGGAAUAUAAGUUAGAUAUCACAGGGCAGAAUUCCACCUAAAGUCAUUGCAAGGAGAGCAGAAAAAUAUGCCCCAAAUUCUCCUCUGAAUGCCAUCCACCUAGUCACCUAUCCAGUCUGAAAUAUCUACUCACUUUUGCUUUCUUCUCAAAGUUAAACUUCUGAUAUCUAGAAAUGUACUUAAAAGGGGAACCUGAGGAAAGUUAUUUGCUUUCUAAUAAUAUUGUAAAUUAUUGACUGUAAUUAUUCCCUCACUCUGUCCACACCCUUUGCCAUCUACAUUUACUAUCUAUGUUUGUACUUCCCUGACCUAGACUUGUGCUUUGGCCAAUGGAAUAUGAGUAAAAGUGAUAAUAUGUCAGGUUUUGAGUCUUUGUCUUAAGUCACAGUACUUGAUUCUGUGUACCUCUCUUGCAUCUCUGCCAUUAAUAUGAGAAGAGCUUGUCCUGGGUAGCUUCUGCCUCCUAGUAAUGAUGGACACACACAGAGUAGACAUGAGCUCAAAAUCAAAUGAGGAGCCAAGCCCAGGUAUAUCUUCAACUUGAUUCAGAGACAUCUAGCUAAAGCUAGACUAGAUUAGCAGAACCACAGCCAACUUUUGAACAUACAAGCAAGAAUUAAUGAUUGUUGUUUAAGUCACUCAGUUUUGUUACCCAACAAUAACUGGCUGCUACAAAUAAUAAUAAUAAUAACAAUAAUAAUAAUAAUAAUAGCCAACUUGCCUAUAACUUAACCAAGAUCAUUUAGCUAGUGACCAAUGCAGAUGGAAUUCAAAUCUGGCUCUAAAUUCCAUGCUCUUAAUCACUUCCUUAUAUGACCUUGAGAAAUGAUCCUAGUUAAUACUUGGGUGAGUUGUUUUCAGGCAGAGAUUUUUAUAAAGAGAAGAUGAGAAAAUACAUAAAUUUCUUUUUACAUGGAUUACAGAGAAGAGAGCUAUAAGUCAUACCAGAAUAAUUCACUCAUAAGAAAAUUCAGUCAGGUUCCCCAGAUCUGACAGAAAGCAUAUUAAAAUAGAAAACUAGAAGAAAGCAGGAUUCAGGAUUUAAAAAUAGCAGGCCAUAAAAAAUAAGGAUGAAGGGCUGCCCAGUGUGACCACUAUCAUGCCAGAAUUUGUCUGCCAUUUACUAGCUUUGUGGUCUUCUCUGUGCCUCAGCUUUUCAUCUAUGAAAUAGUAAUAAUAAAAGUAACUACUUCCUCCGACUGUUUAGAGGAGUGAACGAGUUAGUGUGUGUCAAGUGCUGGGAACAGUGUCUGGCACAUUGUAAGCAGUGUAUGCAUGUUAGCUUAGUGGUUCCUCUAGGAGGAAGCACCAUGCUUACCAUCUGCCCGGUAUCUCUGACUCCACCACUGUGACGCUUUUGUAAUGUGUCAACUUAGCUACUAGAACUACAUUUCCCAGAAUUCCUUCCCUAUAUGGUCUAGAUAGAAUUGCCAUAUGAAGAAUCUGCAUGAGAUUUGGAAGGUGAAUGUGGAGCAUCAGCCAUCACUGUCUGGAGGUCAGUGUCAGGCACAAGGGGCUGCUGCAGCUUCACUCGUCCUGGACCUGCACAGGACAGCAGCUGGGCCUGCACCUCCUCUCCUCCUUCUGGACCUCCUCCUGUAGCUGCUCUGGCCAGGUAUAUGUGUCGCUCCAUGAUGGAGGAUCCAGCUUGCAGGUCACCCAUGUGGUUGAGAUUGAAAUGGCAGAAGACAGAUAGGGCUUGGAGUUGGUCCCAUGGAUUUCAGUUGGGCCUCAUGGAAUCCCGUUUGUCUUCACAGAUUUUAGUGCUCCUUGCUUUUCUGCACUUCACGUCCAGCUUUCCAUCCAAAAGGCCUGGCCUGCUGACCCAUAGCAACUUCAGGAUUGGCCCACCAAAUGCAGAGGGAUCAGCCUAGCACAGACAUCUCCACGAGCUCCCACCAUGACCCAAGGUCUAAUCUCUAUUGCAGAUCUGUGUUUUUCUACAUCACUCAUGGUGGUCAUUUGGCCCUGAUUGAAUCUUGGCUGAUACAUCCCUCACCCCAUUACCUUGUGAGCUGGAUAUAAGACAGUGGUAGCAUGGGAAGCUCAGGGUUCUGUGGAACACAUUUUGCAUUUAUCAUAACUUUAAGCAUUUUGGAUCCCAACUACCACCCUUUGCCUUCUCACUAUUUUCCCAGAACUUCUCUGUGGGAGGACUUUGAGCAAUAAGGAAAGAAUAUUGACUGCUGAAAUCUCCACAGAAAAAAUAUCCAAUUUCUGGCUUCAGCACAGGGGUGGGUGGGGUUAACCACAGAUUUGUCAUCAGGUUUUAAAAUCAAAGCAGUAAGAUUUUCCUAAAAAUAAAUGAAGAAGAAAAAAAGAAUUCUAUUUACCUCAAUAUUGCUGUUUUCACAAUAUCUGAGAACAAGUUGUACAGAGUAAUACAAAUGCUAAGAAGGUGGGUCCGAAUGAAAUACAGAAUUCAUAAGAGGAUGUUGUUACUCAGAGGAAAGGCAGCCCAGUGUGCUUCGAGAUGGUAUUGCAGCAAUGAAAACAAGCUCAAUGUUCAUGUCAGAUAAACAUGAGUCACAGCUCUGGAAGGUUAGCAAGUGACUCAUCUUCAGGACUGGGCACUUAGUGAAGACAACUGUUUACCUCAGCCCUGCGGUUGUGGACACAAACAUUCUUUUCUUCCCUUGUGACUGGGUCACUGGGAGAUGCUGGUGCAGCCACGUGCAUCGGCACCCCAGCUUCCACCACACAGACGCUCACCUCUCCUGCCCCAUGAUGCCUUCCACUCUCUGCUCUCAGCCUUUCACUGUCCUUAGGGGUGGAAAUUCUCUAAAAUCAAUGGGUUUCCUGGUAAAUGGGGGAGAAAAUACUUCAGAGCCUCUCCUUGCAAGGAGGGGCCAUUGUUAGGAACUUUUGGGCUGACAUGCUGUGGCUGAGUCCAGGGGGCAACAAAGAACAGACCAGUUUCAAACUUGGUCAGCUAGCCAAAAAAAAAAAAGGAGCUAAAGGGAGUGUAGAGACUCUGGUGGAGGCCGGGCAGAGCCAGAGUCAGGGAGAGGAUCCUCCCCUGUCAGUGGGUGGUAGUGAGGACUGGAGUCAGGGCCACAGCAAGGUCAGGGAUGGAGGAAUGGAGGAGAAUUCAUGCAGGAGAAGCUUGGCUGGAGCUGUAGUGAAUCAGAGGGGGCAUCACCAGCAGGGCUCUGGCUAGUUGCACUAUUGUCCUUUUCUGCCUUGUCUGAGUUGUUUUGUUACCAGAACCCAGAGUGUCUACUGCUGUAGCCAUAGAGGCUGACUGCUCAGGAAGCAGGGUGGCAGUGGAGGCAUGUCAUCCGGAGAAACACACAUCCUUGCACCAGGACACAUGAACAACAAUGUCCACAGCGGCAUUGCUCAUAACAGCUCCAAGUGAGAAAUAGCCAAAUGACAUCAGCCUCGGAGGUGCUGAAUUUAUAAGUAAGCUGGCUGUUUAUACAGUGGAAUAAAUACUAUCUUCAUUUCCUAGGGCUGUCAUAACAAAUUAGUGCAAACCAGUGGCUUAAAAUAACAGAAAUUUAUCAUUUCACAAUUGAGGAGGCUAGAAGGCUCAAAUCAAGGUGUGAGGAGGUUGUUUCCUUCUGGAGGCUCUCAGGGAGAACCUGCUCCAUGCCUGUCUCCCAGCUUCUGGUCUUUGCCAGCAAUCCUUGGCAUCCCCUGGCUUGUAGCUGUCAUCACUCCCAUCUCUGCCCCCCUCUUCACAUGGUGUUCUCCUUGUUUUCUCUCAGUGUCUUCACAUGAACAUCUUAUAAGGACAACAGUCACUAGACUUAGGGCCCACCCUAAUCCAGUAUGAGUCAUUUUAACUGAUUACAUCUGCAAAGGUCCAAAUGAGGACCAAAUGAGGUUUCCAAAUGAGGUCACAUUCUGAGGUUCUAUGUGAAUGUGAAUUUUUGGGGGGACACUAUGCAACCAGUGCAAAUACUAUACAACCAUGAAAAUGAAUGAACUACAGCUGCAUGCAGCAACAUGGUGAAACACAGACAUGAUAUUCAGGAACAAAAGUUAGGUGCCAAAGAGUGUGUACUGUGGUGUUACACUAGGCGAUUCAAAGUCAGGGAGAGUUAAACUGUAGUGCUUAGGAAUGCAUACUUUGUGAUACACAGGAUAUAUGUAUCAUAAUGAAAAGCAGGUAAAUGAUUCCCAUAAAAGGCAGGAUAGGGGUUACCUUUAGGAGGGAAAGGAGUAUGAGAGGGGUUCCUGGGAUGCUGGAAUGUUCUCUUUCUUCACAUGGCUGGUGGUUGCAAGAGUGUUCAUUUUUUGAUAUUUCAUGAAGCGGUUUUAUUUUCUGUACCUGCUAUUUUUCACAAUAGAGCAAGGGGGUGACAGGUAACCUGCAGUUCCGGGUUCUGGCACCAGUUACUGAGUUUUGGGUAAGUUGUCUCCCUGGACCUCGGUUUCCUCAUCCAUAAAAUGAGGAGGCUGGAGACAAUGCUCUCCAAGCUCAUUAAAAUAUAACUCAUUUAAUUCUCCAGGCAUUUCUCAAAGAGAGGAGGACCCCCCUCUCUUUGUAAACAUUAUGUUUACAAAAAAGGAAACUCUUGAGAGAGUCACCGUAACUUAGUUAGACUUUGAAACCAGAAGAACCUGGAGUUAAGAGGUAGAGGUGAAGUGCAGGGGGACCCAGUGAUGACAAAGGGGUUUUCAGAUCAUUCUGUCGUAAGGAGCAAUUCAAGAGAAGAGGUGGGUUUGAGGUGAGGUGGGGUUGGGUAGACAAGCUUCAUUGUGGAGACACUGUUGGAAGUGAGAUGUUGGUGGGAUACUAUGUGGAGAGUCUGCUAGGCUGGAGCAAGUGCUGGGCUCAGCCAGGUCUGGACUAAGCAUGGACAACUUGAAAUCAAGUCCUCUGCUUCAUGGCCUGGGAUGGGUCUCACUUUACUCUGUCCUUACUGGGAUUGUUAUUCGUAGUGGCGUGACUUUGGAAUACCGUGUCAACCCUUCUUCCAUCCUGAUUUCUCUCUGGACUUGCACUUCUCACCAGUGGGCUGUCACUGGUUCUUGGUCAGUGACAUACGAGAUUUACGACUUCUUUGGAGCUAACUUUAUGUGUAGGUCAUCUAAAUGGUAAACCUCAAAUGUCUCACUGCCUGGAAUCCCAUCACAAGGAAUGAUAUCCUUUAGAUCCAGCAUUCCUCUCCCCAUGGCCUUUUCAAAAAUAAAUGCCAAUGCCCGCGAGAGGCUAAACAGAGUAAUUCUUCAGCCUUUAGUAGAUUAACAUCUUACAUGUUUUCUUCUGUGACAGGAGGGUGAGAUAGAGGAAAACACUGGCAUCUGAGCAGUAGGGGGUGGUGGGCAGCGAAAGGGACCAAUAAUCUGUGUUCAAAAGGCAGGCUAGGGCAGAGGGGAUACAUUUCAUAUAUGUUAAUAUCCUGAAAAUUUUCUGACAAUGUACAGCUCCUAUCUCUUCUCAUGUACAGUGAGUCCUCAUGUAACAUUUCUGAUAGGUUCUUGGAAACGUCAACUUUAAAUGAAACCAAUCAAUAGAUGAAUUGAAAUAAAUGAGUUAAUUAAGUUCCUAUGGCAUAUUUCUGGUCACAAAAACAUCACCUAUUGAUGGGAGUAUAAAUUAGUUCAACCAUUGUGGAAGACAGUGUGGCGAUUCCUCAAGGAUCUAGAAAUAGAAAUACCAUUUGACCCAGCAAUCCCAUUAUUGGGUAUAUACCCACAGGAUUGUAAAUCAUUCUGUUAUAAAGACACAUGUACACGUAUGUUCCUUGUGGCACUGUUUACAAUAGCAAAGACCUGGAAUCAACCCAAAUGUCCAUCAAAGAUAGACUGAACAAAAAAAUGUGGCAUGUAUACACCAUGAAAUACUAUUCAGCUAUAAAAAAGGAUUCACAUGAGUGAAUCUGGAAACCGUCAUUCUCAGCAAACUGACACAGGAACAGAAUAGCAAA